GCGAGCGCGCUACCGCUUGAGCCACAUCCCCAGCCCCAAUAGAUUCAUUUCUUAUAUUUUUUUAUUACAAAGUUAUGGGAAAACAUCACCCCAAAGGGAUAAAUAACAUUCAAAUUAUGUUUAAGUAAAAAAGCUCGGGCUGGGGAUGUGGCUCAAGCGGUAGCGCGCUCGC
rnacentral:miRNA from 1 species